GAAUGCUGACAUAAGUAACGAUAAAGCGGGUGAAAAGCCCGCUCGCCGGAAGACCAAGGGUUCCUGUCCAACGUUAAUCGGGGCAGGGUGAGUCGACCCCUAAGGCGAGGCCGAAAGGCGUAGUCGAUGGGAAACGGGUUAAUAUUCCCGUACUUGGUGUUACUGCGAAGGGGGGACGGAGAAGGCUAUGUUGGCCGGGCGACGGUUGUCCCGGUUUAAGCGUGUAGGUGUGUGUUCCAGGUAAAUCCGGUUCACUUUAACACUGAGGCGUGACGACGAGGCACUACGGUGCUGAAGCAACAAAUGCCCUGCUUCCAGGAAAAGCCUCUAAGCAUCAGGUAACAUCAAAUCGUACCCCAAACCGACACAGGUGGUCAGGUAGAGAAUACCAAGGCGCUUGAGAGAACUCGGGUGAAGGAACUAGGCAAAAUGGUGCCGUAACUUCGGGAGAAGGCACGCUGACACGUAGGUGAAGUGAUUUACUCAUGGAGCUGAAGUCAGUCGAAGAUACCAGCUGGCUGCAACUGUUUAUUAAAAACACAGCACUGUGCAAACACGAAAGUGGACGUAUACGGUGUGACGCCUGCCCGGUGCCGGAAGGUUAAUUGAUGGGGUCAGCGCAAGCGAAGCUCCUGAUCGAAGCCCCGGUAAACGGCGGCCGUAACUAUAACGGUCCUAAGGUAGCGAAAUUCCUUGUCGGGUAAGUUCCGACCUGCACGAAUGGCGUAAUGAUGGCCAGGCUGUCUCCACCCGAGACUCAGUGAAAUUGAACUCGCUGUGAAGAUGCAGUGUACCCGCGGCAAGACGGAAAGACCCCGUGAACCUUUACUAUAGCUUGACACUGAACAUUGAGCCUUGAUGUGUAGGAUAGGUGGGAGGCUUUGAAGUGUGGACGCCAGUCUGCAUGGAGCCGACCUUGAAAUACCACCCUUUAAUGUUUGAUGUUCUAACGUGGACCCGUUACCCGGGUUGCGGACAGUGUCUGGUGGGUAGUUUGACUGGGGCGGUCUCCUCCUAAAGAGUAACGGAGGAGCACGAAGGUUGGCUAAUCCUGGUCGGACAUCAGGAGGUUAGUGCAAUGGCAUAAGCCAGCUUGACUGCGAGCGUGACGGCGCGAGCAGGUGCGAAAGCAGGUCAUAGUGAUCCGGUGGUUCUGAAUGGAAGGGCCAUCGCUCAACGGAUAAAAGGUACUCCGGGGAUAACAGGCUGAUACCGCCCAAGAGUUCAUAUCGACGGCGGUGUUUGGCACCUCGAUGUCGGCUCAUCACAUCCUGGGGCUGAAGUAGGUCCCAAGGGUAUGGCUGUUCGCCAUUUAAAGUGGUACGCGAGCUGGGUUUAGAACGUCGUGAGACAGUUCGGUCCCUAUCUGCCGUGGGCGCUGGAGAACUGAGGGGGGCUGCUCCUAGUACGAGAGGACCGGAGUGGACGCAUCACUGGUGUUCGGGUUGUCAUGCCAAUGGCACUGCCCGGUAGCUAAAUGCGGAAGAGAUAAGUGCUGAAAGCAUCUAAGCACGAAACUUGCCCCGAGAUGAGUUCUCCCUGAGACUUAGAGUCUCCUG
rnacentral:rRNA from 1 species